CACUUGGUCCAGAACCAAUCCCAACAUGAAGAUCUUUUAUCUGCUGUUCGCAUUCCUUUUCCUUGCAUUCCUGUCUGAACCAGGUAGUGCCCAGAGCCUGUGUCAUCGUAAAAGAGGACGAUGCCUUGAGAUCUGUCCAAAAGGCACUAAGGACAUUCACAGAUGGGACUGUAGACAUGGAUUGACAUGCUGUGUACCUGCCAGAGGAAAAUAAUUCCAUCUCCAUCUACCAGCCAGGAUGUCUUCAAGAUAUGACCAAUGACCUGAGAUUGCUGCCUGCUAUUGCUUUAUCUUCCUUUACAUGAAUCAAAUUGCUAUGUA